GCGGGUGUGGUGGAACGGUCUACACAACAGACUUAAAAUCUGUCGGAGCGAGUCUCCUUGCCGGUUCGAAUCCGGCCACCCGCA
rnacentral:tRNA from 1 species